GGCAACGUGGCUGAGUGGUUAAAGCGUAUGACUAGAAAUAUCAUUGAUAAUAUUAAUCAUAUCCCUUCGGGGUCACAGGUUCGAGUCCUGUCGUUGUCG